rnacentral:tRNA from 1 species
AGCAGCAUGGCCUAAUGGUUUGAGUGUUGGACUACGACUCUGGAGACCAGGGUUCGAUUCCCAUCUCGGCCA